rnacentral:rRNA from 1 species
UACGAAGGGGCGAGCGUUGUUCGGAUUUACUGGGCGUAAAGGGCGCGUAGGCGGCGCGAGAAGUCGAGUGUGAAAGCCCCGGGCUCAACCUGGGAAUUGCGCUCGAUACUCUUGUGCUUGAGUUCGGGAGAGGAGCGUGGAAUUCCCAGUGUAGAGGUGAAAUUCGUAGAUAUUGGGAAGAACACCGGUGGCGAAGGCGGCGACUCGUGGACCGAG